rnacentral:rRNA from 1 species
UACGUAGGGGGCUAGCGUUGUCCGGAAUCAUUGGGCGUAAAGAGCGUGUAGGCGGUCCGGUAAGUCCGUUGUGAAAGUCAGGGGCUCAACCCUUGAAUGCCGGCGGAUACUGUCGGGCUAGAGUCCGGAAGAGGCGAGUGGAAUUCCCGGUGUAGCGGUGAAAUGCGCAGAUAUCGGGAGGAACACCUAUGGCGAAGGCGACUACCUGGCCUGUUCUUGACGCUGAGGCGCGAAAGCUAGGGGAGCAAACGGG